rnacentral:rRNA from 1 species
GCAGUCGGACGGUAGCACAGAGGAGNUUGNUCCUCGGGUGACGAGUGGCGGACGGGUGAGUAAUGUCUGGAGAUCUGCCCGAUAGAGGGGGAUAACCNCUGGAAACGGUGNCUAAUNCCG